rnacentral:lncRNA from 1 species
GGUUCUUUUGUCUAGAGUGAAAUUAAUGUAGUUUGAUUUAGUGUAAUUUAUUCUUAAAUUAUGUUUAAGAAACCAUGCAUUUAUCAAGUGGAGGUCCGUUUCUGCUUUUAGACGAACUUCGUCCCACUUGUCCCCAGAUAUAAGGAUGGCUGUAUCGUCUGCAUAAGAAAAUAGUUUACCGUGAAUAUUUAAAUGAUUUAGCGAAGAGACAUAAAAAGAAUAAAGAAAUAUAAAGAAUAGGUGAUAAUACUGUCCCUUGAGGAACUCCCGUUGUGAUUGUAAUUUCGUCACUAAGUGUGUUAUUAAUUCUUACUUGUUGUUUUCUGUUGUCUAAGUAAGAUUCUAAUAAUUUUAGUGGUUUAUUAACUAUACCUAUUGAUUGAAGUAUGAGUAUCAACGAUUUAUGAAAAAUGCUGUCAAAAGCUUUACUGAGGUCCAGGAAAAUUCCUAAUGUUUUUUUAUUAUUGUUUAAGUUAUUGUAUAUAUCCAUGGUAAGCCGUGCUAAUGCACCUUCUGUUCCUAGGUUUUUCCUAAAUCCGUAUUGUGAUUUAGGUAAGAUAUUAUUUUCUUCUAAGUAAUCUAAAAGCCUUGUUUUUAUGGCCCGCUCAAAAAUUUUUGAAAAAAUAUUUAGUAAGCUAAUUGGUCUGUAAUUAUUUAUUAAUUUUUAUUACCGUUUUUAUGAAUUGGAGUUACUGUGGCACUUUUAAAAGAAUCUGGUAUGAUACCUUCCAAUAGUAUUUUAUUGAAAAUAUGAGCUAAGAUAUCUGAUAUUGAUUCUUUAAUAUGUUUAACUACGUUAAUUGUUAUUCCAUCUUUGCCGGGGGCCGAGUCGCCUUUCAUAUUUGAGAUAAUAUUAUUUACUUCCAAUGCCGUUAUUUUUCUUAAAUACAAGGAUUGAUUCGAGUUAAGUUUGUCUGUUGAUGAAUUUGAUUGGAAAAAAUGUUUUUUUGUAGUAUUAUUUUGGCUACCCAUUGUACUAUACUAUUACAACAGUAUAUCAUUUUUGAUAUUUUACAUUAAAAACAAUGUAUUCACAAUGUUUCGGGCGAAUGGUGGCGCUACCUGCACUUGAUAUUUGUACUAACAAACUACCGAGAAAUGUUGCGACCGGAAUAAUAUUAUGUACAAGACGUGGUGUCCCCUUAUCUUCUCUACAUCGUGCUAGAAUCACGGUUUAAGAUAUCUUAAACCGUGGCUGGAAUACCUAUAUAAUAUAAGUAGAGUUGUCAAGAUGAUGAUACCUACGGAACGCGAGUCCGACUGGCCGGUUUUUUACCCUGUUUUUUAUUUUUCUACCGAUGAGUUACUGGUAUAUUAUUUUACCACUUUAUGCAACGGGAAAUAUAAUUUCAUACGAGUGGUAAGCUUGUACGCAAAAGUUGUUAUUGUUAUCUUGUUAUCGGUAAUCGCGUAAACAUAUCAAAGUAGUAAAUUAUUAUACCACAGCGCACUUAUUUUUAUUAUUACUCUAAUUUUACCAUACGCAAAAAAUGUUUUUUUUUCAAAAUUAAUAAAAUAUACAUGUAUGUGAGUCUAGAAACAAAAUUUGGCACACAAAGCAAAAGCGCCUUAUGCCCUAUAAAGGGUUUAAAAGACAUAAAAAUAUAUUUAUUAUAAUACAUAAUAUAUAUACUCAUUGAACAAGCUGCGAUGAAGGAAGUCCAAAUAUUUAUGCCCGAGUCAGAAAACGAAGAAACAGUAAGACGUGGCAGAAUAUUAUAACUAUCCAAACCCCAAUAUGAUGCAUUAGGUAGUGAUUCUUGUAAAGAAAUGGAUCUUAUAGUGUGUAUAUCAACACUACAAAUGAGAAAAAGAAAAUUUCAGAAGUAUACAGAAGUACCUACCUAGCAAUAUAAUAGUUUAACCGCAGAAUCAACAUCACAUUUUGUCGACAAUUGUGACCAAGAUACAAGAUCUGAUGCAUUACAAUCAAUCAGGCGUAAUUUAAAUUCAAAUUUAUCAAAUUAUCAAGAAUCUAGUAAUCAUAGUAAUGGUGUACUCACUUAAACAGAAUUUUGAAUUCAACAAAUAUGUUCUUGAAUAGAUUGAAUAAAAUGUUAGAUGUGCUUUUAGAACAUAUAAAACAUUCUCUCAGCGCACAAUACAAUAUGUUCCAUUAGAUGAUUCUGUUUUAAAUAUAUUUUUAUUAAAAAAUAUUGCAGUCAUAAGAGAUAUUGAGAAAAACUUACAAAACGAUGAAUAUAAACUCAAAAUAACUCAUAUUAUACAUUCAGUUUGUGGAAUAAGUUGAAAAAACUUUAUCAAAAGAGUACUUUCAAGAUUAUUUAUAAAUAAAAUGUCUUCUGUAUGUUCUUGGACAGGGUUCAGGAAUAAUUUUUGUUUAGAUAAAUCUUCAAAUUAUAAACAUAGCAAAACAAAUUGCUGAUGAUAAUUAUAAAAUGGAUGACAGCAGUUUUGAGUGUCACAUUAAAGAUUGAUUCAGUCAUGGAAGCCAACGUUUGGCAUGCGAAGAAAGCAGAAAAUAGUGAAAUAUGAUUUCACUGACAUAUGUUGUAAAGUAAGAUUAGGUUACAUCUUACAUACCUGUCUGAACAAGAUUGGUCCGUAUUGGAUAUGUGUGGCUGCAAUAUCUGUACCAUUUAAAAAAUGCCAUUUUAAAUGUUUGUUCCAGGCUAUGGUUUGUAUUUUACCAAGACAAAGUCAAUUUAGAUGCUAUUAGUUUUCUAAGUGUUACGUUUGGUCCUCUUUGCUUACAGUUUUAAUGGCCUAUAGAGAUUAAAGUUAAACUUUGAUAGUUUUCCAAUA